CUCUUUGCUGUGUCUCUGUCAUGUCUCGUACCAGGUGUUAGGUUUUAUUUAGUUUUUUUGUCUUGUAUUUGUGUUGUCUCGUGGCUUUUAUUUUGAAAC